rnacentral:rRNA from 1 species
UUUCCCUCAGGAUAGCUGGCACUCGCUUGAGCGAGUCUCAUCUGGUAAAGCGAAUGAUUAGAGGCCUUGGGGCCGAAACGACCUCAACCUAUUCUCAAACUUUAAAUGGGUGAGAUCUCUGGCUUGCUUGAACGUUGAAGCCACGAGAUUUAUUUAUAUUCUUGGAUCAGAGUGCCAAGUGGGCCAAUUUUGGUAAGCAGAACUGGCGCUGUGGGA